GAUGAACGCUAGCGGCAGGCCUAACACAUGCAAGUCGAGGGGGAAGUUACUUUCGGGUGACUGAGACCGGCGUACGGGUGCGUAACGCGUAUACAAUCUGCCUUUCACUGGGGGAUAGCCCGAAGAAAUUUGGAUUAAUACCCCAUAGUAUAUAGGUACGGCAUCGUUUUUAUCUUAAAGCUUAGGUGGUGAAAGAUGAGUAUGCGUUCUAUUAGCUAGUUGGAGAGGUAACGGCUCCCCAAGGCGAUGAUAGAUAGGGGUUCUGAGAGGGAUGUCCCCCACACUGGUACUGAGAUACGGACCAGACUCCUACGGGGGGCAGCAGUGAGGAAUAUUGGACAAUGGUCGGAAGACUGAUCCAGCCAUGCCGCGUGCAGGAUGAAGGUCUUAUGGAUUGUAAACUGCUUUUGUAAGGGAAGAAUAAGGGCUACGCGUAGUUUGAUGACGGUACCUUACGAAUAAGCAUCGGCUAACUCCGUG
rnacentral:rRNA from 1 species